rnacentral:rRNA from 1 species
GAACUGAAGAGUUUGAUCAUGGCUCAGAUUGAACGCUGGCGGCAGGCCUAACACAUGCAAGUCGAGCGGCAGCACGGGUACUUGUACCUGGUGGCGAGCGGCGGACGGGUGAGUAAUGCCUAGGAAUCUGCCUGGUAGUGGGGGAUAACGCUCGGAAACGGACGCUAAUACCGCAUACGUCCUACGGGAGAAAGCAGGGGACCUUCGGGCCUUGCGCUAUCAGAUGAGCCUAGGUCGGAUUAGCUAGUUGGUGAGGUAAUGGCUCACCAAGGCGACGAUCCGUAACUGGUCUGAGAGGAUGAUCAGUCACACUGGAACUGAGACACGGUCAAGACUCCUACGGGAGGCAGCAGUGGGGAAUAUUGGACAAUGGGCGAAAGCCUGAUCCAGCCAUGCCGCGUGUGUGAAGAAGGUCUUCGGAUUGUAAAGCACUUUAAGUUGGGAGGAAGGGCAGUUACCUAAUACGUAUCUGUUUUGACGUUACCGACAGAAUAAGCACCGGCUAACUCUGUGCCAGCAGCCGCGGUAAUACAGAGGGUGCAAGCGUUAAUCGGAAUUACUGGGCGUAAAGCGCGCGUAGGUGGUUUGUUAAGUUGAAUGUGAAAUCCCCGGGCUCAACCUGGGAACUGCAUCCAAAACUGGCAAGCUAGAGUAUGGUAGAGGGUGGUGGAAUUUCCUGUGUAGCGGUGAAAUGCGUAGAUAUAGGAAGGAACACCAGUGGCGAAGGCGACCACCUGGACUGAUACUGACACUGAGGUGCGAAAGCGUGGGGAGCAAACAGGAUUAGAUACCCUGGUAGUCCACGCCGUAAACGAUGUCAACUAGCCGUUGGGAGCCUUGAGCUCUUAGUGGCGCAGCUAACGCAUUAAGUUGACCGCCUGGGGAGUACGGCCGCAAGGUUAAAACUCAAAUGAAUUGACGGGGGCCCGCACAAGCGGUGGAGCAUGUGGGUUAAUUCGAAGCAACGCGAAGAACCUUACCAGGCCUUGACAUCCAAUGAAUCCUUUAGAGAUAGAGGAGUGCCUUCGGGAGCAUUGAGACAGGUGCUGCAUGGCUGUCGUCAGCUCGUGUCGGGAGAUGUUGGGUUAAGUCCCGUAACGAGCGCAACCCUUGUCCUUAGUUACCAGCACGUAAUGGUGGGCACUCUAAGGAGACUGCCGGUGACAAACCGGAGGAAGGUGGGGAUGACGUCAAGUCAUCAUGGCCCUUACGGCCUGGGCUACACACGUGCUACAAUGGUCGGUACAGAGGGUUGCCAAGCCGCGAGGUGGAGCUAAUCUCACAAAACCGAUCGUAGUCCGGAUCGCAGUCUGCAACUCGACUGCGUGAAGUCGGAAUCGCUAGUAAUCGCGAAUCAGAAUGUCGCGGUGAAUACGUUCCCGGGCCUUGUCCAAACCGCCCGUCACACCAUGGGAGUGGGUUGCACCAGAAGUAGCUAGUCUAACCUUCGGGGGGACGGUUACCACGGUGUGAUUCAUGACUGGGGUGAAGUCGUAACAAGGUAGCCGUAGGGGAACCUGCGGCUGGAUCACCUCCUUA